AGAGUUUGAUCCUGGCUCAGGAUGAACGCUGGCGGCGUGCUUAACACAUGCAAGUCGAACGGUGAACACGGAGCUUGCUCUGUGGGAUCAGUGGCGAACGGGUGAGUAACACGUGAGCAACCUGCCCCUGACUCUGGGAUAAGCGCUGGAAACGGCGUCUAAUACUGGAUAUGUGACGUGACCGCAUGGUCUGCGUCUGGAAAGAAUUUCGGUUGGGGAUGGGCUCGCGGCCUAUCAGCUUGUUGGUGAGGUAAUGGCUCACCAAGGCGUCGACGGGUAGCCGGCCUGAGAGGGUGACCGGCCACACUGGGACUGAGACACGGCCCAGACUCCUACGGGAGGCAGCAGUGGGGAAUAUUGCACAAUGGGCGCAAGCCUGAUGCAGCAACGCCGCGUGAGGGACGACGGCCUUCGGGUUGUAAACCUCUUUUAGCAGGGAAGAAGCGAAAGUGACGGUACCUGCAGAAAAAGCGCCGGCUAACUACGUGCCAGCAGCCGCGGUAAUACGUAGGGCGCAAGCGUUAUCCGGAAUUAUUGGGCGUAAAGAGCUCGUAGGCGGUUUGUCGCGUCUGCUGUGAAAUCCGGAGGCUCAACCUCCGGCCUGCAGUGGGUACGGGCAGACUAGAGUGCGGUAGGGGAGAUUGGAAUUCCUGGUGUAGCGGUGGAAUGCGCAGAUAUCAGGAGGAACACCGAUGGCGAAGGCAGAUCUCUGGGCCGUAACUGACGCUGAGGAGCGAAAGGGUGGGGAGCAAACAGGCUUAGAUACCCUGGUAGUCC
rnacentral:rRNA from 1 species